GAAAAAUCCCUCCACUUUUUCUCUCACACAGUUUGAUAAAUCUGGGCCACAGUGCCCCAAAUGGAGCCGCCCUUACUUGGUGUCCAAAGGAGCAGCUAACCCUGGCACAGGUGCAAAUUUGAUGGAUUUUCUGGAUAAACAUUGGAGGACAACUCACACAGGAUGUAGAUAGAGGGGAGAGCAGAUACAAAGCAGUCUGCAGAAAAGAAUUGGCAGUGUACAAGUAUAGAGAGAAAAUAAAGCUCAUGCAGAAAACAUAAAAUCUAGACUAUGGGAAGAAGUAACAGCAGAAUCACUAUUUGAUCCUCAGUGAAGUGGCUCAGAUGCCAGGCAUGCCAUCUCUGUUUAUUUUUGAAUUGCUAAAUAAAAGCUAAAAACAUCCUUUUUCCACGACAGAUCUAUUUCCACAAAGCUGUGUCACUUGAGAAAAACAAGUGCUGUGGUCUUAGGUGAAUUCGUAGUUAGCAGUUAGAGGAAGUGCUUAGUUUCUGUUAUAUCACAGUUUCCAUGAGUAUCUGCAAGCAAAUGAGAUAUGACUGAAGCAAUGGAGAACAAUAUCACAGUGCAAAAAAAAACCAGAUGGAAUCUGAAGUAACCAUUGAAGCCUCAACGCUGUGAAUAGAUUUUAUUGCAUGUCAAGGAACUUGUUUAAUCGGAGCCUUUACAACCUAGGUGCACUUUAAUUGCUGUGCAUUUCCUUGUAGUUGGUAUGUGUACUGCUGCUGACAGACUGGCCUAAUGUGCUGCUUCAUGUCUCACUUAUAUCUCGCUGUGAAAAUUGGAAGAUUGCAGACUUGUAGGCUGAUUGGUAUAGCUAUCGAGCACCGCUAUUUGCUUUUCUACACUGAGGAUUGAUUGGUUGAAUUUGCCUUACUGUGCCUAUUUGUUUCUAAUUUUAGUAUGGUUUUUUUUAUGCUGCUAAUUGAUUUUUCCAACUGUGAAACCUAUGGUUAAUAUUUGACUUAUGAAAAAGUCUGAGUUUAAAACUAUACUUUAUUUGGUCAUAUUUAGGCUCCCAUUUUAAUGACUCUCCUGUACAGUACAGAUCUUUUAUGUGUUUGUGUAGACAGAAAAACUAUUAAUGUGCAUCGUGUCACAUAAAAGAAGCAUAUUUAACCCCUCUUUUUCUUCUGCCUCUGUUCAUUUUAUUUCUCUACUUCCGUUGCUUUCCUUUUUCGAGUGUUAUAGAAUUUUUUCUUCAUACAAUCAAUGCUCCCUUAUGUUAUUCUCUGAACUUUUUUUAAUAUCUUAAAGCAGUGUUUCCCAACCCAGUCCUCAAGGCACA